AUGCCUCCCUAUAGUUCUGGGUCUGCUUUCAGUCUCUAAAAGAAGAGCAGCAAGGCUGACAUGCCCCCAAAAGCUGGACCAUCCUUUGGCUGCGACGGAAAGGUGAUGGAAAUCAGCCCAGGUUGACUGGACAGAAGGGAGCCGUCCUGACACCAACAGAACCCCAGAGGAGCAGAGAAUCAUUCCUUGUGCCAUCCUACCUCCACCUGUCUGUCAGUAUAAACACGCUGACUGCUGAUGGACGUGGAAGAGAAUUAGUGCUUAUGGAAUGACAGAUCCAGGAUGAUUCCCAAGACAGCUGUUUGGAGGUAAUCGUGUAGUCCUACCUAUUCUGUACUUUGCAAAGUGUAGGUUCUGGGGACUGAUAACUUUCUAUGUGCUUUCAUUUUUUUCACUUUUCUAACAUGGGAGAUUUCCACAGUCUUCUCCACUCCCCAGCUGUGGAAACAGAAGCAUAUUCUUAGGGCAGGGCAUUCAUACACAGCUGCAAUAUAUAUAUAUAUAUAUUAAUCUUUUAGACUGUCUUCAAAAAUAACAUUAUGAGCCUGUGGGAAAGGUGUGGGAAAGACUUGAAAGCUGUGGUAAAAAUCCCACUGAGGUGCUAUGGUGAGAACAGACCAGCCUCUUUGAGGGAGUGUGGGAUCCUUAGGGUCAUCAAGGAGAGAUCUUGCUGAGAAAUAUCACAUAGGGCACAUGGGGAACACCAUGGAGAAGUCCAGGAGCAUCUCAAUGGCAGCUGAAUCAUAAUGCCAAAAGUGGUUGAUCUUUGUAAUGAAAGACCCCAAAAAAUAUGAGAACAUGGGGGAAAAAAUAAUCCUCAUCAAACCCAGGAUAUACGUCUCAGAGGAGAACAAAUAUCUUCAUAAAGCCAUGGAAGACUGACUCUCCACUAUAAACUAAGAAAGAAAAGAGGUUUUUCACUUUCAGUGUCAGACAUUUCCUCUUUUCCACCUAGUUUUAAUCACUGCAAAGAUAGAUGACACGUACCAAAAGUCAUCCCAAGCAGGAGACAUUUCCAAAUGUGCCCAGCCAGCUCUUUGGCUGUUUCCAUGGUGAUGAGGCAGCGUGUCCCGCUGCUCUCCCUUCUGCGAGCGCCUUUCCCAAGCUUCAUACGGUCUGACAACACCGUGCCUGUGGAGCUCCCCUGCCAAAAACUUCCCUCUUCUCUGCUCAAGGCCAUUCCCAUCUGUUCCUUCCUGUUCUCCCUGAUUUUGGAAACACCUGGCUAGAGAGGGAAUCCAUCCAUGUGUUUGCUUCUCUGCCGCAAUGAUCAGGCCAAGGAGGGAUUGCUGCUGGUCCUACAAGUGGAGGGACUGGAGAGGGCAGUGCUUUCCUGCCUCAGAAAGAAGUUUUGGGUGAUGGUAAGGGAGAACACUGUAGGGGGCAGGAGCACAGACAAAGCAGAAGGAAAGAAAAUCCAGAGUUCUGCCCAGUCUCCCAAAAGAAUCGGACUGAAACUUGGCACCACUGGCCAUAGCAACAAGUAGAGCAGUAAAGAAUGUACAGCCUUGGUACAAUGCAGUGCUUAUUGAAGGAGAUGGAUGACAAGCGUGAAGGAACACUUCCCAACCGCUGAAUUCAGAUAGGUCUGUGUCACAGCUGAGUCUCUGGCAGCUCUCAAGAGCAUUUCACUGAAAGCGAAAAAAAAUAGAAGUCAGAGUUACAAAGCUGAAAGAGGCGUUUUUGCUAUCAGCUGAGGACUAGCAAGAAUGGGAGGUUCUGAUGGAACUACACUGGGAGGAGAAGCAAUCUGCAGGGCUUGCUGCAGUUGAUCUGCCUUGGGCUGAGUUGAUGUGGUUACAAAAACAUCUUUGUGCUCAGCACUAUUCCGUUGUUGGCCUAGUGCCUUGAGGCUUACAUGCUUUGGAAAUAUGGAUGAGGAGAUGAAAACUUGAGCUUGUUUAAAGAAUUUAAAUCUGAAGAUGGCAGGCCCAGGAGAGGGAUUCUGAGUUCAGGCAUGUAGGUCAUGCAAGAGAGGUCUUGUCUUCACCAGCAAGUUAAUAUGAAAUAUAGUAAAAGUGUUCCUGUUAGUUCAACCCUUGCCCACACAAAAAAAUCCCUCAUUGCAUAAAGUGGCUGAAGAAACAUAAAUUGACAAAGCAAUCAGAGAACAAGGCAAACCUUGAGUGAAUUCACUUCAUCCUUUAUCACUGCUCUUUCUCUACAGUAGUGACCCACGUUAGGGACCACCAUCAAAACAUCCAGCAGUGCUCACUCCUCACAGUUUUUCCACUUGAACUUUCCUCAGUGGCUGCUGACUCCUUGCUUCCUAAUUGUGAGCUUAUUCCCCAAGAUACAAAGGGCUUCCAGUGCCUACAACACCAAUCACCCACCUUCUGUGCAGAAGUCUUGGGUUUAUUAUUUUGAAACUGUGUCUAACAAGACCUCAUUUUCCUGUUGCCUACUGAUCAGACACCAAGUUAUGGGAGAAUCUCUGGCAUGAUGCUACUGUAGUCUAUGAUUUUCGGAGGAAGGAUCCAGGCUGAAAGCUUCCUGGUGACAUUCCAAGUAAGCUGUCAUGAGAAGAGAAUCCAACACCCAAGACCUCAGUGCUGAGGGAAAAUCAGAGGGUUUCAUCUACUCAGAGGAAAAGUGUAGAACUAUAAAUGCUAACUCAGUAACUCCCCAGGAAUGAGCAUGUGCCAUGCUGAGACUGAAUGCAUCAUUAGCAAAUCCCUGAGGCCGGAUCUCUAUUUCAGACUGCGCAGUAUAACAGCUCCAGGGAACACACAACCAGAGGAUGCUGAUAAUUUCACAGUUUCUGCUUCCCUGCGAGGCAAAAAAUAGAAGUGCUCUGAAGCUCUUUCCCAGGAACACAGAAGUAACGUUUUCCAGGGCCAUCAAAAGCAGAGGAAGAUAGGUGUGUUCUCUGCAAUCUGGGAGAAAGGGAAGCAGAACAAUCUGCUAAAGGAGGCUCAUGGCUGAUCAGCAAGCUGUGUGGACUGAAGCUGUGGAACUGGUCCCUUGCAGAAGAGAUGCUGGGGAGAGAAGGCUCAGGUAGAUGGAAAUCUCAGAAGCCCGUACGAUCCACAGAGGAUUCACAGACACCAUAUCAGUGUCUCCCCUCGCAGCACAGAUUAAUAAUUCUCCUUGUGUGUCUGCCCUUUAUCACAAGCAACCCAUGGGAAAAACUUGCAGGACAGAUGACUCAAGGUAAUUUUGUAGUGUGACUGCAUCCUCAGAGAGAGCAGACAAAAAGGGAAAGGCAGACAGCCAGGCGGUCUCUCACACACUGAGGUCAAAUUCCCCUUUCCGUCAGUCCCGGCUACAGGAAAGUUGAGGACGAGGGAGAGGUACCAGACACGCUCCCGUGUCUGCUGGCAGAGAGGCACCAGGCAGACAAACACACGCUCGUGUGAGCGCAGCCAUGUAAUCUCUGCUAUCAGUGAGACCAUGCCCGGGUUUCACUCCUAAAUGUCUCAACUUCUCUGCAUAGCUCGGAUUGCACAGUACAUGCCUCGGCUGUGUGAGAUGUGCUGCUGGCUCUGGGGAGGAAUUAUUUCAGGUUGGCUGCAGCUGGGAGCGUGUAGCAUGACUUCAGGCCUCAUUAGAUGCACACUUGACAAGUUUUCUGCACAAACAUGAAGGGAAGAAUGGUUUUCUUAACAAAACAAGGCUUAUGCAGUUGUCCUAUGUGUAUGUGGAAGGGAGUGUCUCUCUGUCUGCCCCAGCUGUCUUUUACCUCCCAGUAACUUUUGAACCUGCUGGCCAAUGUAAUACAAGUCAGAUGGAGAGACAGAGGUUCAAGAAGUAUUCAGUUCCAAUGGGUUUUGUGAAAAAUUCAGCUUACUUAGAGGACAGUCUUAAUUAAUGCCCUGAAUGGAAGAAUCCUGCACAUGAACUCAACUUCUAUUGGAAUAAGAAUUUAAGUUGGCAGCGAUUGCAUCUAGUCCAGUCUCCUGCUCAAAGCACAGCCAGCUUCAAAGUCAGAGGAAGCUGCUCAGGGCCUCAAUUUGAAACCUCCAAGGUGUCAGGAAUCCACUCUGGACCUCAGCUUCACAAAACAAACAUAUAGAGCACAACUCGUGUGGCUCUGCCGAUCAGGGAAUUAAUUUUCCCCUCUUUUAAAGAAGAUUUAGAAGUGGCAGCCAGCGGUAAAACCUGCAACAAUCCCCACACCAGGCAGUCCCUAGGGCUCUGCUUAUGUUAAAUACAUUUAACCAGCAGCCAGUUACUUUAUUUUGGCAUUCUGUGGCAGUUAAUGAUUCCAAGUACAAAGGUCAGACUCAGAGACACAAGGCUUUGUGUAUCCCAUUGUUUGAUUUACCAGAAGCUACAAGGGAAGGAGCACUGCUCUGUAUGAGUGGGAACUACAAGCUACACAUCCAGCCUGACAAGCUAAUGAGAACAAGUCAUUCAUUAACAGGAGACUUGCUGCUAGGCAAACACACACAGCUGGUAUGGGAGAAGAAUUUGGAUGUGAAAUGAGACAGUGUAGCUGUUUUUUUCAUAAGACAUUUCCUAUUUCAGCAAGUUUACAGUCUAAAUAAAGACCACACAGAACACAUUAAGAGCCUGAUCAGAGGAAGAUUUGGGCUUAUGCCUUUUCUGAAAGGUUUGGUAAUGAGCAGAGAGGCAGAAUUUGCAAAGAGAACAGAAAUAUUUGCGUGUUUAACAGAAGGAGCAAGUUUUAAAUAUAAGUGAGAUUUGAUUACAAAUGUAUAUGCUGCUCUCUUGGGUACCAGUCUAUUCUGUGCACACACACAUAUUUACAUUCACAGAAACCCUGUGUGCUUUCUCUUGCUUCAACUGCACAAUUACAUUUUUCUUCAGAGCAGUUUCACACUUCUGAACAUUUUUUAAUGGAAUAACAUUAAAGUUGGAAGCUGAAAAGCAUGGCUAUUUAAUAACUGUGUGAGAAAGGAACACACUGUCAUUUGAAAGAUAAAGUAAGCACUUACAAUUCUUGCAAAAUCAAAUAAAAAAUCCUGCCAAGGAAGAAUCUAUCUGGACACCGUGGAACGGAACAAUAACAAUAUUUUAGACCAAACUCUGACUCCUAAAGGGAUUUAAUUAUUUAGGAAUAUUACACAGAGCAUGACACCAUUCAUGGCCAGGGCACAAGUGGUCCAGAGCAAGGCUGGAUCCCUGCCAUCCUAAACUUACAACACAGAGCACCAAUCCUGCAAGAAGUUGUAUCCUCAGGCUUCCUUACAAGAUCAAAGACUACAUUCAGAAGUGUGAACAGCUCAAAACAAUACCAGGAGCGCAAUCACAGAGGGAUUCAUUAUUGUAACAAGGGCACCUUCAGAAGAUGUGGUUUUCACUAUGAUUUAGAAAAGGGAAAUGAAGGUGCUGGGCGAGGUAGGGGGGAAGGAGGUAUAAGGGGAGACUAGCAGAUGAAGCAAAGAGCAUGGAGAGGAAGCACUGCUGAUUCCAGAGUCUUAAUGGUCUUUUCCUACCUAAAUGACUCUAUGAUUUUAACUCCAUCUUAUUUUAGCUGCACAUCUUAGAAAAACAAGAGAAGGAUAUUUUUUUUUUCUGACUAAUGUAACCUUUAUUUAGUUUUAGACUAUCGCGGUGGUUAUGUUAAUUCAAACGCAGCACAGUCAUCAGCAGAGAAAUCUAAGAUGGGACAAGGCUGUUCUCAGAGGCACUGAUGGAGGUACUGCAGUGCAGUUUUGUGCUCUGAGGCAUUUGCUCUCACUUAACUAAAUGUCAGCUCUCUGGAUACAAACCUCUCAGGGAGAGGAAACAGAAAACAUAGGAAGAAAAGCUUCCAUCUGCAAACUGAGAGAACCCUCUCAUAAUCCAAUGAGCUACUAAGAUUUCAAAUUAGGAAUCAAAAAAUUAGGCUCCUAAAGAUAAAUUAAGGCAAUCCUGGAACUCUGGUGGCAAAACAGUCCUAUUGACCCACCUGCAGCUGAAUGCCUAAAAGCCUGAAUCAUCACCAGCGCUGUCGAGGGACCUCAUAUUACCUCAGCAAAUGUACUUUAUCAGUGAUCAUUGUGCAAGCUUAGUACUAAUUUGCAAUUCCCAGCAGAUGCAGAGACUUGUCAUCAUUUUUGUUUGGUAGAGGCAACAUUUUCCACAGAAAAAGGCAAACAAACAACAUUCUUAAUGUUCUUAUUAGCAUACCCUUCUACAGCCUUUAGUGCCUGGAACAGAUGCUUGGGAAGGGUGGUGCAGCUGUAGUACUUAGAGAAAUAUAUUGGACAGGAAAAAAAUUCCUGAAGAAGUCCCAUAAUGUCCUUAUUGCAUCUCUAGCUUUCCUGUGAUGGAGGCUGUGAAAGGAGAUGGGUUAUACCAGCAUGGGUACAGCUCCUGCAAAACCUCAGCACAGUCCACGUGCUGCUGUUGGCACUUGAUAGACACACAAGGCCCAGCCCCACAGUUGUGAUCCGUGAGGGUGCUUAGUUACACAGCAUAUCUAACCCAAAACACAAGGCCAAAUAAGAGGAGAAUAGGGAUGCCUGAGAUGCUGUAGUGAGCUGGCUGUCUCUACACACAGACACACUCAUCUUUUCCACUACAACACUGCAUGCCCAGGCCCUUUCCUCCCUUCACAUGGAGCCCUCUGUGGUUGGCAUCGAUGUUUAGACCAGUGGCAGUGUCAGAAGAGUGGUUUGGAUGAGGAAAAGUGCUGAAGCAGCAGCAAAGACAGAACAAAAGGUUGGCUGCCUGGAGGAGAGGGACGAGUUGGGUGGUGGGAUGCAACAUUUGCGGGAGUGUGUGUGUGUAGAGUUUUAGUUUAUCUAUGGUGGAAGAAAGAACAGUUAUUGACAGAGGAAACUUCAUCUCUCAAGGCUGCUCGUGAACCCUCCUGUGCUGUUGGGCAAAAUCUGUUACUUCCUCAGAACGCUUUUAUCUUCACAGACUCUCACUGAACAGGCAUGAGGGUACCCCAAGGUAUCCUGCAUGCACUGUACACAAAUUCUAAUUUAAAUCAUAGUAAUGAUUUGAAAUAACUUUUAAGACAACACUGAAACAGCACCUAUUGUGCCAUGACAGAUCUGAGCAGACGGGACAUUUUAAGAGCUGUCAGUCAGAGAUGAAAGAGUGAGCUCCUGUACGUGUUACGCCAAGGAAUGACAUCCGCCUUUGACACGGCUCAGCACUUACAAGCUUUCAGCACUUAUUGCAGAGCAACUAACCUUGUGUCAUGAAGCCUUUAUCAGAUUUUUAAAUCUUUCUUUUUCAUUUCAAAGCCUUUCCCCAAAAGCCCUGCAUGGCUGCACCCCAGAAACCCAGUGGCUGCCUGGUGUCAGGCAGGUGCAGCCUGGGGUGUUAGAGGGACACAGAGCAGCAGUGCCCUGGGCUGUGUCUUGGACAGUGCCCAUUGCCUUUGCAGACAUCCCAGGGGAGCUACAGCUGUCCUGAGCUCCACAGCCUGUCCUAGCCCCGCAAUUAAAGCAUAAAAAUCCUGACAUGCUAUGCACAGGUAUCCCUGACUCCUGAGAACCCUCCAAAGGCCUCUUAACAAAUACUGUAAUGAAUACAUCCCUGGCCUAAAUACCAGCCAAAGGUUUAAUACAAAUCUGUUUCUCUGUGGAGCUUUGAUACACAGAAGGUAUAUAAGCUGGAAGAAGAGCAAUGAUUACUCCUAGAAUUAAUUUUCAGGCCACCAGCAGCACACUGCUAGCUAUUUUUUCCUAAGUUAAAAACAGGAACUGCCCAAUUGACUCAACGCUCGGGCUCAGGAGUCUUCAGUUUAUCCACAGGCUCCUUCUGGAACAGAAGCCAUACUUCAGGCAGAUGACAGCAGCAUUCUCAUGACACAUAGUGCUGAGCACGUAAGACUGCUCAGCCAGCAUUUUUUGACUGUGAUUUUUGGAGCACACUGUGGAUGGGGAGCAAAUGCAUUGUCAGUGCUUAUAAGAAGCUUCAAGAAAUGGAUAUACCAUUAAUAUUUAAAGUCAGUUUAGAGCUGUUUCUAGAAAUACCACAUUUCUUGUCAGGCACAUGACUGUAACCUCAGUGCUGUCUUUGUUCCUUGGUCCUUUUUAUCCCUUACUUGAACAGCUCAUGAAUGGCAGAUUAACUGGAAGCCCAAAAUCUCCAGCACAGUAACUGUUAGAUGCCUUAUUAACUCACAGUGCCAGACCUCUUCAGAAGACAUUACCUUUGAGAAACAGCCUAUUCCUGAUGCUUAUUGAGGCUGAUAACAUCACAGCUGAUAAUAAUAGGUAGCAUUGGUGCAGACUUUACCUCUUGUCUUUGCAUGGUUAACCAUGACACUGUGCAGUAACUUCCUAGCUCCUGCUGUAACAACAAGGAACAUGUGGCUCAGUGUCAUCGGUGACUCAGCAGCACAGAGACAUUUUCAGUUUGGGGAUUUCUUGUUUCUAUCCCCACUGCUGUUCUAGCAGGGGUUCUACAAAGAGCAGUCACCAACCAGGGCAUCCCCUGUUUAUAGGACGCCAGGGGACCAAGUGGAGCCCAGUCCAAGGGUCUGGCUUGUUUAGCACUGAACCAGCAAUGGCUGGGGCGCUGGCUUUGAAGCUUUUUUUACAGGGUACAGCAUAGUCUUAAAAUACUAUUAUAAACAACAAAAAACCCAUGCUGCAGCCCUCUUCUCCCUGCAACAGGCCUUCUCAGAAAGCCCCUGCCUGACCCCAUCCCCAGGAAAGAUGGUUCUGUGUGUCAGACAGGUUCCCUGCAGUCGGGCAUUAACGUAACCCUCAGUGAGCUGCUUUAUGUGCACAAGCUGGGAGAGAGAAUGAGGGAUUUCAUGAGAUCUGAGGAAUAAGAGCAGUGUUUAAAUCCAAUUCUCCUUGGUGCACUUACAUAUAACAGUCUCUUGACACUGGCAUCUUCUUUUAAAAUGCUAAUGGCCUUCCUCUGGAUAGUUCUUCAUGAGCAAGUAAAAGGCAUUAGGAAAGAAAAAUAGUAUUUCUGUUGAUUUUUAACGAGUGGUUCUAUCCUACGUGGCAACUGCAAACGGCAUGAGGGAGUUCUGUGUUUGUUGUCUCUACAGUCUCCAGAGAACAUAUAUUUUGUUUACAAGGCAAACCAUUUAUAAAUGCCAAACCCUGCAAAUUCUGGCUGGAACGAGACCAGGAAAUAUCUCCACUGCAGAGUUUCCCCAUGGGCCAGUUCUGCCCGGGACUGUCCAUUCUGCAGGAUCACCCUCUCCUCACAUCCACAUAACCGCGCCCGUACAAGGUCCCGGACUUGGCAACACCCCAGAUGGUCCCAGCACUAUUUUAAGAACUGUUUUGUUGUGUGUUAUUAGCAAGACUGUCUGUAAUUUCUGAUCUCCCCAACUUUCUUAGUCCGUUAAUUUAGUGAGUUAAGGCAUUCCAGCCUGUGUCAGAGAACACACCAGCCCAAUGGGAUGAGCCCCCCCUAAUUUAGGCAGAAUUAUUAUUGCAGCAGGGUGCAGUUUGAGUACAUGCAACAGUAUGGAUGGCACCUCAUGAUCCUGGGAAGGUAGAACAUGACCUUAGAAUUCCUGUCACUGAAAGCUGACUUUCACAGAGCAAUGAGAGGAAUGUCUCCUCACCUUCCCACCCCAGGAUGGCCACACAGAGGUUGGAAGCCGGAUGGAUGCAAGUGUUACCAAGCCAAUUUGUCACUGUCACAUCAGUU